GGGCCUGUAGCCUAGCCUGGAUACCUGUAAACUCUUGAAUUAAGUGGUUUACAUGUAAUGCAAAUAGGGCGACAGCCUUCUAAGCCGUGCUUAUUAUCGCUGAAUAGGUCGUGGGUUCGAAUCCCAUCAGGCCCG
rnacentral:tRNA from 1 species